ensembl:misc_RNA Metazoa_SRP Metazoan signal recognition particle RNA
GCUGGGCAUGGUGGCGCGUGCCUGUAAUCCCAGCUACUCAGGAGGCUGAGGCGGGAGAAUUGCCUGAACCCAGGAGGCGGAGGUUGCAGUGAGCCGAGAUCGCGCCAUUGCACUCCAGCCUGGGUAACAAGAGCGAGACUCCGUCUCAA